UGGGGAAUAUUGCACAAUGGGCGCAAGCCUGAUGCAGCCAUGCCGCGUGUUUGAAGAAGGCCUUCGGGUUGUAAAGUACUUUCAGCGGGGAGGAAGGGAGUAAAGUUAAUACCUUUGCUCAUUGACGUUACCCGCAGAAGAAGCACCGGCUAACUCCGUGCCAGCAGCCGCGGUAAUACGGAGGGUGCAAGCGUUAAUCGGAAUUACUGGGCGUAAAGCGCACGCAGGCGGUUUGUUAAGUCAGAUGUGAAAUCCCCGGGCUCAACCUGGGAACUGCAUCUGAUACUGGCAAGCGUGAGUCUCGUAGAGGGGGGUAGAAUUCCAGGUGUAGCGGUGAAAUGCGUAGAGAUCUGGAGGAAUACCGGUGGCGAAGGCGGCCCCCUGGACGAAGACUGACGCUCAGGUGCGAAAGCGUGGGGAGCAAACAGG
rnacentral:rRNA from 1 species